AUGUGGGAGAGACAUGUGGGCUGCAAAGUCGAGGUAGGCCAAAGGGAGGGAAGGGGAACAAGGAGGUGUCUGGUAUCAGCGCCCAGGGGGACAACAGGAAGAAGGGCACCAUGCUGGUGGGGGGACUGUCGGCUGGGCUAUGGUGAAGCCAGGGGGCCGGAGGAAAAACGGAUAAAGAGAUAAGCAGAGGAGCGGCGGACAAUAGUCUGGAGCACAGACUAGAGCCUAGAAAAAAAAAAGGUAUUUAGUAUGAUGAUAUUGAUGCCUCUGAGAUGCGUAAGCACUGACCUUGUGCAUGGAAAUACAGAGACCACAUUCAGCUCAACACAAGGUCAGGAUGAAGGAGAGAAUGACAAAACACUACUUUGUCUGAUGAGCAUGGCGUAUCACUGAGGUUGAGGAGGGAGGAGGCUGGAAGCCCUGCAGGAGCUGCUGAGUCAUCAUGCUGGCAAAGGGGGAGACGAGAGGUGGAAUCUGUGUCUGAGCUGGCAGGCUGGCACAGUUACCAUGGCACAAAUAGCCCAGGCACCGAGGAAACUGCAGCAAACUGCAGGGCGGCGAGGGAAGAAACAGGCAGAGACUGGGGCAAUGCGGAGCCUGCUGUUUGUGUCCCUGUCCCCGUCCCCGGCUCCAGACCCAGACAGCCAAAGUGCCAGCAUGCCAUCAGGGACACACAGAUGGUUCACUCCUAGGUGGAUGUGGGUGUAAUACAGACCUGAGGGCGAAAGUCCUCUUUGCAGCAGCCCACAUUCAUAUUCACACUACAGCUCAGCAAAUAUACACGUUCACCUCAGUCGAAAAAACAUUCUCUGCCUACAGUAAAAUACGACACUUGGGAUGACUAAAACAGAGUUAAAAGAACGCCCAAUCUUAACAGUUGAGUAGGUUAUGAGGAAAUACACACUUUUACUUGAUACAAAUGUGCUCAUGAACUAUGUAGAAUAUAAGAUUACAAUGAGUCCUACAAAAAAAGAAGCAUGCACAUGAAUGAUUCAAACACUGGUGUUUAAUUUAAUGUUUGACCAUCAGAGCAUCAGACCAUCAUCCAAAAAAAAACUGUUUUCCAAAAGUCAAAAACUAGCUCACAGUAUGCCAACACUAUGAAUAAAAAACAACAGUUUCUACCUGACUUUUAUGAGUGUUAUUAAUUCCUCAAUUACAUCUCAAUCAUGAAACGAAUGUCUCAGAAAUCAUAUUAACACGUAGCACCAGCCAAUCUCUGGUUGUGUCAUCUCGAAAACACCUUGAGGCAAACCAAUUUAUGACAGAUUUGAUGGGCCUUCUCAUCUAGUGGAAGGUUUGUUGUGUAUUUGGUUUUACGCCUAAGGCCGCUACACACAGUGUGAUAUCAGCAAU